rnacentral:rRNA from 1 species
UACAGAGGUCUCAAGCGUUGUUCGGAUUCAUUGGGCGUAAAGGGCUCGUAGGCGGUCCAUCGCGUCGGGAGUGAAAAGCUGGGGCUUAACCCCAGUCCUGCUUCCGAUACGGGUGGACUAGAGGUAGGUAGGGGAGAACGGAAUUCCUGGUGUAGCGGUGAAAUGCGCAGAUAUCAGGAGGAACACCGGUGGCGAAGGCGGUUCCCUGGGCCUUACCUGACGCUGAGGAGCGAAAGCAUGGGGAGCAAACAGG